rnacentral:rRNA from 1 species
GUCGAGUCGGCCUGCGCGGAAGAUGUAACGGGGCUAAACCAUGCACCGAAGCUGCGGCAGCGACACUAUGUGUUGUUGGGUAGGGGAGCGUUCUGUAAGCCUGCGAAGGUGACCUGUGAGGGUUGCUGGAGGUAUCAGAAGUGCGAAUGCUGACAUAAGUAACGAUAAAGCGGGUGAAAAGCCCGCUCGCCGGAAGACCAAGGGUUCCUGUCCAACGUUAAUC